UAGCAAGGUGAAAGAGAGGACCAGUGAGGUGCAGAAAGACACAACGCACUGGAGUCGUAUCUCAACUUCACUAGUUACCACGCACAGACUGCAAACUGCUUUUACCCUUUAAAAUUCCCCUAACUCUUUCUGGAACUUAUACCUUAGCUCCUAGAGGUCUCUCACAUACAACCCCAGAGCCUCACAUGGCACUCCAUGCUGUCAGCUCAGCCUGGUGACCACACUAGAAGAUGUAACACCUUUGCUGUCCCCUCCAUAUGCACAGACCCCCAAGUGCCCCCUCCCAUUUUCAUGAGUUGUCCUUGAGCCCCACUGCCCUCAUUGACUUUGACAGCCCUCAAGUCCCCACCAAUUUCCAGCUUCCAGAGCACAUCCUUGCAGGACUGCUGAUCGACACCUUCUCCACCAAUCAGAACAGCUGUCCCCAGGUCACUGAGGCACAUGGCAUGGCACCACCGAGGGCUGGGACUGCCUGAGGAGAGGAGAGCACAGGGCUGUGAGCAGAGUGACAUAAGACACCCUCAGCUGCCUUCCCUGCUGGAGAGAACAAGACAGCUGAAUGCUUAGAGGGAAGAAGUGGGAAGGCAAGGGCCCCAGUCCCUUCAUCUGCAAUGGCAAAAGACAUAGCUCCCUGAGGAACCUUUUCAGUUGGCUCAGGGGAAUAACUGCUGUACUAAGAGAGACGUUGUGAGCAGAGUAGCUGGAUGUAGGAUGCAUACAAGGCUUCCACUUCAGACAGGCUUGGAUGUCCAUUGAUUAUCCAUCCCCAGAAGUGAUAUCCCAGUUGUGCUAUCCUUUGUGUUACUCCUAGCGAUGGAAGGCUACCCAGGGACAGCUUGUUAGUGCCCAAGAUAGAACAAUCAGAAGCCUGGAGCUGCUUCCAGAGAUAUUCCUCGUCCUGCUCUGUUCGUCCUCCUUUGCUCUCCCAGGCUCCUGCAGUUGGCUGAGCAAGCUAAAUCAAAGUCUAUUCCACAUCUUACCCUUUUCCUCAAAGGGCUAUGCACCCAGAGGUGUUCCUGAGAUUCAGAGGGGCUACAGAAGCAUAUUGGAGAGCCUGACAGUACUGGAAGCACCUAUACUGAUGGCAGCUGCACAGAGAGGAACAGUAUAUACACACAAUGUACUUAUUGCCCUUGAUCACUGGGGAGAUACAGGGCAAAGCAUGAGAGGCUUUUGACGUUAAAGGGAAGGACUAGCAUCACCGAGUGACUGAGACAAGCUGCAACAGGAACCAAAUCCUCACCUUGCAACUCCUUCACAGCCAGAUCUGCAGAGGGAACACAGAGAUGGCCUCAUAAAGAAAGCAGACAGUAGACAUAUCAUAAAAUCUUCACAGUUCAAGAGCCCUUUGAUCUUCCUUUCUCCAACCCCCAGCACAAAACUACCUCACUGCAACAAUGUGCAAAAUCAAGAAUCAUGAAGAAAGUCUCAUCAGAAGAAAUCCCCAAAACAGGCAAAAAUUCAUCAAGCAGUUGAUCCAGGAAUAAAAAGCAUUUUCAGCAUUUGCAAGCCAACACAGACAAGCUCCUCAUGCCUUGGAGGUAUAAAGAGAAAUGGAGUGGGAAGUUGCAGCCCAGCAGCAUUGACUGAUCAUUCAGACAAGACCUGUAAAAUAAAGCUGGAAGCUACCAGAAUUACCUUCUUCAUCAAGACCUCUCUCAGAUGCUGUGGGUUCAAAUAAAACUUUCCUGGGCUUCUUGGAGUGGACUCUUGGUGGUCCUUGGACAGGACUAUUCCUCCAGGUCUCAUUGGAUUUCACCUUGCCAGAUGGUGGCUUCAGGGCAUAGGGUACUACCAGGGCCCUCAGUGGUGCAUGGACAUCCUUCCUCCCAGGCCUGGAUCCUCUAGCAGCCACCUCUGAGCUCUGGCUCUUAACCUGUGACAAGAGUCCCAAUGAAAUCAGCUCUGAAGACCUGAGGCUACUGUGAAUUGUCUGUUACUGGGCCAGAGAUUAGUUUCACAUGGUGCUUGUUUUCAGGCUCAUCUUCCCAUUGAGUCCUAAGGGCCAGCAUGCCAACAGUAUCAGCUGCCAAAGAGAUGCUGAGCAAUGCAGCUAACUGCUGCUGUCUGCUGCAGUCCACUUCUGGCUGCUGGGCACAGCUGAACAAGGCAACUGGAAGGGCAAAAAGGCCCUCUGUGCCAGUAGUAAACAGUUUGUACAAUCAUCCCACCAAGCACCGUUAAAUUCAACCUUUCCAAAGGCAUUUCAACGAAGAAUACAUCUUUCUCUAGCACAAGAAAAUCUUUGGCUCCAAAACUUUCUUAGCAAUGUCUAAUCAAAAGAGUGGCAACAAAUGUCUCUGCUAGACAUCAAGUGAAUGGCCACUGGCGAGGGGGAAAGUUACUAAGGAGAGGGUGAAAUAACAAGAGGAAGGUUCCAGGAUACACAUACCUCAAUAGGAUCCUCCAGAUCCUGGCCAACAGGUCUAUCAUCUGCUGGAAACACUGGUGAGUGAGUAGUCUCUGGGACAAGGAAGGGGUGGGCAGGUGUACUGCUGGAGACCCCUCGGAGCAGCUGUGGCAGAAAAAGUGACAAAAUAAAAGGACAUAGCAACUGUGCCAGCCCCCAGCCACAAAGGGUGGGCAAAAAGAUGUCUUGCAAGGGACAGAUUCCCUGCAGUGGUAUAGCCCACAUUUCAUCUCCCGCACCAACAGAAUAAACAAGGAAAAGGAAAGCCAGGCACUGCAAUAUGUUAAAUCCAAGGGCUUCAGUACAAGGUAAAACAACUCUGUAAGACUCAGAAGAGAGUGGAACUGGAAGUGAACUGCUCUCUGCUGCCAGUCUUCCUGCAGCAUAGGUGUUCUGACAAAGCUGUGUUUAGAGGGUACACCUGGAGCAUCACAGAGGGCUUGCGCUCAGAUCCACAUUUGUCAGCUCUACCUUGGAGUAGCAAAGAAAAGGAAAAGGAGAGGAUAGGAGAGGAAAUUCUGUGGCUCAAAAACUAUAACAUUUGGGAUCCCAGGCAGAAGGAGAGGAGAAUGUCAGUUGUUUUACCUGUCCAUUGACAGUCAGGACAAGCCUCACAGGGUUGCCUUUGUCCAUCUCUUUCAAUGAGGCCAUGAAAAUAUCCAUUCUCCAGUCAUCUUCCCACACCAGAGACCUGCCCAAGGGACCGCCAUGGGUUUUCAGACCACAACUGACACUGACCAGGGCAUAAUUCCUGCUCCUACCCUAGACAGUAAGAGCCCAAAGCCAAAAAAGAUCCAGCCCUGAAAGCAGCCAAAAGGAAGCUGAAAGCAUCAUUAGAGAGAAAUACUACGGUGGAGGACCAGCAGGCCUGAACAGCUUUGGGACUACACCAGUAGAAGCAGGCAGCACCAGAGAUCAGAAAGCUUUUCCAGUAUGCCCUUCCUGACAUCCUAGCAGCUCCUGCCAUAACCUGCGUGUGGGCUCCAGCGUGCCAAUGCGCUGUGGUGCGACGCCUGGGGACACCAGCACUUCCACUGCGAUGCUCGUGUCUGGAGAGUAACAGCUCCAGUCUCCCAGGCUGAACACCACCAGCUGCUUUGGCAAAGGCAGGGGCAGCCAAGCCUGGAAACCCAUCUUGCUGGACUGGCUGCGAGGAAAGAAAAACACCACAUAUAAUCAUCAAGGAGCAAAAUGAAUGUUAAAAAAAAA